rnacentral:rRNA from 1 species
UACAGAGGGUGCAAGCGUUAUCCGGAUUCACUGGGUUUAAAGGGUGCGUAGGCGGGUUGGUAAGUCCGUGGUGAAAUCUCCAAGCUUAACUUGGAAACUGCCGUGGAUACUAUCAAUCUUGAAUGUCGUGGAGGUAAGCGGAAUAUGUCAUGUAGCGGUGAAAUGCUUAGAGAUGGCAUAGAACACCAAUUGCGUAGGCAGCUUACUACACGAAUAUUGACGCUGAGGCACGAAAGCGUGGGGAGCAAAC